AGUGAACGCUGGCGGUAGGCCUAACACAUGCAAGUCGAACGGCAGCACAGGAGAGCUUGCUCUCUAGGUGGCGAGUGGCGGACGGGUGAGGAAUACAUCGGAAUCUGCCCAGUCGUGGGGGAUAACGUAGGGAAACUUACGCUAAUACCGCAUACGACCUUCGGGUGAAAGAGGGGGAUCGCAAGACCUCUCGCGAUUGGAUGAGCCGAUGUCGGAUUAGCUAGUUAGCGGGGUAAUGGCCCACCAAGGCGACGAUCCGUAGCUGGUCUGAGAGGAUGAUCAGCCACACUGGAACUGAGACACGGUCCAGACUCCUACGGGAGGCAGCAGUGGGGAAUAUUGGACAAUGGGCGCAAGCCUGAUCCAGCCAUACCGCGUGGGUGAAGAAGGCCUUCGGGUUGUAAAGCCCUUUUGUUGGGAAAGAAAUCUUUCAGGCUAAUACCUUGGGAGGAUGACGGUACCCAAAGAAUAAGCACCGGCUAACUUCGUG
rnacentral:rRNA from 1 species